CUACGGCCUCAGAUCAGACGUGGCGACCCGCUGAAUUUAAGCAUAUUACUAAGCAGAGGAAAAGAAACUAGCCAGUGAAGAGAGAACAGCCCAGGUGUUGGAAAUGUGGUGUACAGAAGACCGACUCCCCGACAUCGCUCAUGGGGCUCAAGUUCUUCUGAUCAAGUCUCACCCUGCUGACGGUUUUAGGCCGGUAGCUGUCUCGGGCACGCCGGGAGCAGGUCUUCUUGGAGUCAAGUUGCGUGGGAAUGCAUCCCCAAAGCAUGUGGUAAACUCCAUCCAAGGCUAAAUACGGGCGCAAGACGGAUGGCUAACAAGUACCGUAAGGGAAAGUUGAAAAUAAUUUUGAAGAGGGUGUGAAAACGUUGAGAGGUUAACUGGUGGGAUCCAUGCAGUCCGCCCGCAGGAUUCAACACGGCAGGCAGAUCGGUCGCUUGGAACAGUGGAUGCCCUUGCAGGACUGCGGCCCUGGCAGAUCCGCCCCCCGCAGGCGCAUUUCCUCUGUGGCGGUGCACCGCGACUGGCUGGGAAGACCCCAGGGGGGCAGGUGCCUCUCUGCUCCGGCAGAGAGUCUUACAGCCCCCUGACAGCAGUUUUGCUGUGUCCGCGGGGCCGAGGGAAAUUGACCGCUGCCGUGCCCUUCUCCGGCAACCGUCCUGGCCCCUCUUGGGGGUCGCCGGGGUGGCGACGGCAGACAGGGCUCCCGAUGCGACUGUCCGGACGGCCCUCUGCACCCCGACCAUGUCAUGCCGCUGGGCAGGGAGGCCCACAAAGGGUUCCAGGGGUCUGAGGUGAUGUCGGUUAACCACCUGACCUGUCUUGAAACACGGGCCAAGGAGCCUAACACGUGCGCGAGUCGGAGGGCCAAAUGAAACCCUGUUGUGCAAAGAAGGUGAGGGCCGGCGCGUGCUGAUUGCGGUGGAAUCCUGUCGCAGUGGGCGCCCUACCGACCCAUCUCACCCGCUUUGUCAGAGAGAUGGAGCAUGAGCGUGUGUGAUAGGACCCCAAAGAGGGUGAACUAGCCUGGUGGAGGUCUGUAGCGGUCUUGAUGUGUAAAUCGGUCGCCUGACUUGGGUAUAGGGCGAAAGACUAAUCGAACCAUCUAGUAGCUGGUUCCCUCCGGAGUUUCCCUCAGGAUAGCUGGCGCAGGGAAACCCCUGCACCAGCUAUCCUGUUUCAUCUGGUAAAGCCAAUGAUUAGAGGUCUUGGGGCCAAAUCCUAUUCUCAAACUUUAAAUGGGUAAGCCUGGCUCGCUGGCGUGGAGGCGGGCAUUGAAUGUAGGUGUCCAGUGGGCAACUUUUAUUAAGCAGAACUGGCGCUGUGAAAUGAACCAAAUGCUGGGUUAAGGCGGCGCCCGAUGCCGACGCUCAUCAGACCCCAGAAAAGGUGUUGGUUGAUAUAGACAGCAGGGCGGUGGCCAUGGAAGUCGGAAUCUGCUAAGGAGCCCUGGGGAGAGUUCUCUUUUCAUUGUGAAGGGCAUGGCACCCUGGAAUGGGUUCGCCCUGAGAGAGGGGCCCAAGCCUUGGAGAGCGUCGCGGUUCCGGCUGCGUGCAGUGAGCUCUCGCUGGUCCUUGAAAAUCUGGGGGAGAUGGUGUAAAUCUCACGCCGGUCCAUACCUAUAUCCACAGCAGGUCUCCAAGGUGGAACAGCCUCUGUCAUGGUGGAACAAUGUAGGUAAGGGAAGUCAACAAGUCAGAUCCGUAACUUCGGGAUAAGGAUUGGCUCUAAGGGCUGGGGCGCUCGCUGUGGCUGGACGAGGUGUCUCGCCCUCCCUCCCCCGGGGUGGUGCCGAGUCUGGAUGCGAGCCGGGCCCUGCCUGUGGAUCGCCCCAGCUGCAGGUGGUCGCCUCUAUCCGUUCGCUUCCCGGGAUUCGGGGCCUGCGUUCUGCCUCAACCGAUGCCUAGCAGCUGAUUUGGAACUAGUGCUUAAUUUAAUGUGACUGUUUAAUUAAAACAGCAAGGCAGUGGGUGUUGACACAAUGUGAUUUCUGCCCAGUGCUCUGAAUGUCAGUGAAUAAAUUCAAUGAAGCGCGGGUAAACGGGGAGAGUAACUAUGACUCUCUUAAGGUAGUCAAAUGCCUCGUCCUCUAAUUAGUGAUGCGCAUGAAUGGAUGAACGAUAUUCCCACUGUUCCUACCUACUAUUUAGCGAAACCACAGCCAAGGGAACAGGCUUGGCAGAAUCUGCAGGGAAAUAAGACCCCGUUGAGCUUGCCUCUGGCACUGUGAAGGGAAAUCCAAGGUGAAGGAUAAGUGGGAGGCCCUCGGCCCGCCGGUGAAAUACCACUACCCUUAUCAUUUUUUCACUUACCCAGUGAGGUGGGGGCCGAGCGCCGUGGGGCUCUCACUUCUGGCUCCAAGCGCCUGCCGUGCGUGACCCGCUCCGGGGACAGUGGCAGUUGGGGAGUUUGACUGGGGCGGUACACCUCUCAAACAAUAACGCAGGUGUCCCAAGGCGAGCUAAGGGAGAACAGAAACCUCCCGCAGAGCAGAAGAGCAAAAGCUCACUUGAUCUUGAUUUUUCAGUAUGAAUACAGACCGUGAAAGUGGGGCUUCACAAUCCUUCUGAUUUUUUGGGUUUCAAGCAGGAGGUGUGAGAAAAGUUACCACAGGGAUAACUGGCUUGUGCUGGCCAAGCGUUCAUAGUGACGUUGCUUUUUGAUCCUUUGAUGUCGGCUCUCCCUAUCAUUUUGAAGCAGAAUUCACUGAGCAUUGGAUUGGUCACCCACUAAUGGGGAACGUGAGGUGGGUUUAGAACGUUGUGAGACUGGUUAGUUUUACUCUACUGAUGAUGUGUUGUUGCAGUAGUAAUGCUGCUCAGUACAAGAGGAACCGCAGGUUCAGACAUUUGGUGUAUGUGCUUGGCUGAGGAGCCAAUGGGGCGAAGCUACCAUCUGUGGGAUUAUGACUGAACACCUCUAAGUCAGAAUCCCACCUAAACUGUAACGAUACCGCAUCGCUGUCUAGCCUCGGUUUGCCUAGGAUAGCUGGCCUUUGGGCCGGUGCGUAGAGCCACUCGCCUUGGGCUUUGAGUGCGGACAGAAGGGGGCCACCUCUCUCGCCCGUAGUGUACCUCAUGUUCCAAGGCAUAAAUUAGUUUUCAAAAUUGAUUAGCAAACAGGCUGAUUUCAUUAACAAUUUUGU
rnacentral:rRNA from 1 species